UGCAGUCAAUGGACGAACUGCCGCUAGGCGAGGAGGUAGAUGAGUUUUGCAGUCGAGGGAUGAGUUGAUAGCUAGACGAGGAGUUGGACGAGCUGACUAGCUGACAGCUAGGCGAGGAGAUGGUCGUUGAGUGAUG
rnacentral:sRNA from 1 species